CGCGGAUGGUCGUGUUUGGCUUUUCUUCUAAAUAUUCCCGGGUUGUUGUCGGUUCUGCCGGUGGGUCCCAUUGCACGCGUCGUGCCGUAGUAACGGAACGGUUCCGACAUUCUAUCGCACGGGGUCUCCAUGUAGUUAGGGACAUCCCGCGGUUGGUUCUUCCAGUUUCCCUUUCCUCGUUCUUAAACAUAUCUCGCUGCGGUUUGGAGGUUCGCGAGGAAUGGUUUCCGUUAAAUCGAAUAAAUGAAGCAUGAAACAAAAUUGUUUUUGAUACAGUAGAAUCAGAAGCCGAGCAGUGCACACAGCUAAGUGUAGCAGCGAUAGAAGGAGGUACGAAGAGCAUAUAGCUUCGUGAUCCGAAGGGUGGACAACACGCCGAUGGGGGUGCCGACGGCGGAGGAGGAAUGUUUAUAAAUUAAUAUUAAUUCAAUCAACAAGAACGAGUGUGACGAAAAGGCUAGAAGAAGCAAGAUCAGUCAGCUCGGGUGCGCGGCAGAAAAACGGCAAAAUUUGUACGUGAUCCAAGUGGGCCGUGUUUUGGUGCGCGGGACAGAAUCGCGUCGUCGUCGUCGUCGGCGCGGUCAGUGUGACGAAGAAAGGCAUCCUAGCAGUCGGUCAGUAGUGACAGUCAGUGAAGUGAGUGCAGAACGUGUGUCCGAGUCGGGUUCUAGCUGAACCAUUCGCGCAAACGCAUCCCACACUCUAGAUUCAGCGGAGGUACCUGGUGCUUGGUGUGAAGUGAAGAGCUCAGGCCUUGAUCCGGCGUGUGAAAGAGACUGCCGGUGGAAACUUUCAGACGAUUUAUAUUUGGAAUAACUGGCGCUUAUAUUUGGUGUAAACAAUAGCUGCAGCAAUGCAAACAUUUUCCUAAUUUGCAAAUAAUCAAACAGCGGCAAUCUAGCUGCAUGCAAGCCGCAGCUGGCACACGAAAAACGUGAUUACCAAGCACCACUACGACGACUACUACUACUACUACGGCUACUAUCGCACAUGUGUAAGCGACUGAGUGCAAAUACACGCACUCUGAGAUCAUAAACAAAUACUAAGUACACGAGCGGUCCGCUUAGUCCGAAACCGACGACGAAGAAAGCGAAGAAGAGUGUCCAUCCAGCCAGCCAGCCUCGUUAGUUGAAUGAAAGUGACCACCGAUCGCCAGCUUUCAUUUUGACCUGCAUAGUCAUCCAUGAUUGAUUAGCGAAGCCCUUUCGGCUUCCUUCAAGAAACUGCAUCCUCCUCUGCUGCAUGCCGUGCAGAUGCAAAAUAGUACUCAUUUUAGUCGGAGUACAGCAGUGCGGUCGUCGCCGUCGCCGCCGUAUAUAGUUAGUGUGCUGUUAUCAUCGUUCAGCAGAAGAGUGGUAGUAUAGAGGCAGAGUAUAGUUAAUAUGCGUUAGUAUCGCCUUAAUAAGGGAUAGAAGAAAAAGUCAACGACGAAGCAGGCAAGCGAAACAACGAAGCAUCGGGAGAAAAGAGAAGAAGUAAUAGGUACCCACCAGUCAGGAGACACAUCAGAUGCGUUGCAGUGGCUUCGACGUCGAUAGUUUGAACCUCUCUAAUAGCGGUUUUCCGAUGCAUCUGCGCCCGUCGAAGAAGAAGUGUGGCACAUGCAUGCAAGAUCAUUGAUCUAUCGGUUUUAUUUAUUGCGCUGUUUACUGAUUUCGGUGUGUUGUUUGCUGCUGGCUGCUGCGAAUAAGUGACUAGGGGAAGAAACCGAGAAUGUGUGACGGCGGUGGCGUCGGAGGAGGACGUCGACGGAGGUGACCGGUUCUACAUACAGUUUUGGUGCCAUAUCUCUCUUUCUCUCUCUCGCGUUGUUGUUGGCUGUGUGUGAGUGGCUGAGUGCUAAGUGCGUUCUGAGACGAGCCGGGUCGGCCCGCCGAGUCGAUAGUGGUGAAGAGGUGAAUUAUUGGUGCGGGAUAUGUGAUGUGAUUGGAGAUGUGUUUCAGUUUGGAGGAACAGCGGCAGCAGCGUCUUAAAUUGGAUUGACGAGUUGCAAGUGGCUGCGGAUUGUUUGGAAGGUUGUUUGUCGGAGCUUUCAAUUAUCAUGAAAGGAGCUUAACACGGUGGAUUUCAAGUUCAAGAACUGUAAGACCCACAACCAACCAUAUCGGCCGAGGAGCUACGUGCCAUCAGAAGCGGGCAUCAGCACCAGAGUGUGAAAAGCGAAAAUUUUCCUACCGCAAAAGCUCAUCUCAACCACCCAAUCAACCACCCACCAACCUACAUAGGAGCAAACCCCCCCCCCCCCCCCCCGCCCACUUGAGCCUCGUCGUUCGUAUCUGUACAUGUUCCGUAUGUUGUAAGUGUUUGUCGUUUGCUUGGCAGUGUUUGUUAGUGUGUAUCUAGGAGAAUAAGGAACCGUGGAAGAAGAAUAAAAAGACGAAAAAGAAGAAGAAGAUAUAGCAUACAUAAAAAUACAACAAGAAAGGUGGUCGAUUCAUGUCGGAUAGCUUGACUCGUUCGGCGAAAAAAGCCAGUGGCAGUGAGUGAGUGGUUUGACCAAAUUACAGGGGAACCUAUAACGAGACUCCGGAGCUCGCAUUGGAUUUUGUGUUUUGGUGUGAAGAAGACUCCACCAAAAGAAGCGUCCGAUAGUUCGACUAUCUUUGAAGAAGCCAAAGAAGAAGUAGAGGCGAAUAAAGUUGAUUCAUAACAAUUUUCGUCGAUAUUGAGAUUUGCUAGAGAGGACAGUGGCAAGGAGGAGGAGAAGGAGAAGCAGUUACUCUAGUGCUCGUUAGAGGGAUUCUGGGGAACGGGAAACGAAGAUUGUUUGAUCCGGUGAACGGACGGGGACAGUGAAGAAGAUAAUAACAGUGAGCGAUUGUGAGGAUAACGAAGAAAGGAAAAAAAUGUUUAUUUAUGGUUGGCGAAAAGCUUCUGCCCGCGUAGGAGAAAGGAAGUGAUAAAGGAGAAGUAAGAAGAAGAAGAAGUGCGCAGUGAAGUAAGGAAGAGAAACAGCAGCAGUUUGGCAGUCAGUUUGGUUGUUUGUGAGUGUGUGUGUGUGGGUAUGUGCACUGGUGCCGCCAUCAUUACAGACUAUAUUAUGGAAAAUUAUAGCUAGAGGAGUGUCAUUUGCGGUGCUGGAAAAGGAAACAAAAGAAGGUAAGAUUCACCCGCUUUUCUUUGGAAAAGUUUUCAAUGGGGGUUUGCAAAGUUGCUCCAUCCAGAGCGCUUCAAAUUGCUUGGCACGAGGCUCUCGGUUGCGGUGACAAAAGGGAACGUUGUUGGUUAACCGUGAGGUGCUCGACGAGUGGCUGGUUUUGGCAGGUUGUGUCCGAUUUCGAUGACGGUUCAAUAUCCUUUUGAAAGGUGGUUGUGUUUUAUUUUCCGUUGAAGUGGUACGUU